UUCGGGGAAUUCCGAGACAGGUGCUGCAUGGCCGUCGUCCAGCUCGUGCCGUGAGGUGUUGGGUUAAGUCCCGCAACGAGCGCAACCCCUACUUGCUAGUUGCUACCAGGUAAUGCUGGGCACUCUGGUGAGACUGCCCCGGUUAACGGGGAGGAAGGUGGGGACGACGUCAAGUCAUCAUGGCCCUUACGCCUAGGGCUACACACGUACUACAAUGGCGCAUACAAAGGGCAGCGAUACCGCGAGGUGGAGCCAAUCCCAAAAAGUGCGUCCCAGUCCGGAUUGCAGUCUGCAACUCGACUGCAUGAAGUUGGAAUCGCUAGUAAUUCGAGAUCAGCAUGCUCGGGUGAAUGCGUUCCCGGGCCUU
rnacentral:rRNA from 1 species